UCUAUGGUUGAUUCAAGUCUUUGUGUUUGUGUUUUUCUCCCUAGAAACAACGCAUACUCAUGGAUGUGUGACUUCAAAUACCAUUAAACAUUUAUGUGACACAUUUUCUGACCUCUCAGGAACUGGAGAUGUUCCAGAAAGCACUGCUGAGCUACUUGGAUGGCCCAAGACUAAAGGUUUCCCAGUGCCUAGUCCGCCUACUGACCACACAUGGUGGUUACUCCAUGGAGAGACUCAUUUCUCAACAAAGGCUUUGCAGCAUCACCACAGUGUGCCCAAGUAAUUUCUAUUCCAUAAUCAAUGAGACAAAAAUGCUCUAGCUAUAAAAUGUCCACAGCAUUGCACAACAUGUGGCCCAACAGCAGCUCUGACCUGCCGAGUUGGCACAGCUGGAAGAUGUUUCAGCCUCAGGACUGACCUUGUGUUGGCUUUGAAGCAAUAAAAGCCCGUGAUGGGGAUGGAUGUUUUGCAGACCUACAGCCCGAUUCUCCCUUGCGUGGUGUUGGUUUAGCUCCACUGCCUGCAGCGGCACCGAUCCUCACACCACUGCAGCAGGAUUGAGAACUUUCAGUGAGGAGCCGGGUUAAUGGAUACCGAAGAUGGUGGUGGUAGGGAGAAUGGCAAGGAAAAUUCAGGAGCUGCUUUUAGGUCUUUCAGUUUUGAAGGCUCCUAAGCAAAAUGGCUCAGAGCCAUUCAGCUAUGGAAAAAAAAAAGGAAGAAAAACAAAAAAAUAAAAAAAAAGAGAAUCCUUUUGCAUAGGUUUUGGUUUGUUGCAUUUGUUAUUUUUCAUAACGAUGGGAAACAAAGCAUAGCCAAACUCCUGACAUUUCACGAGUUAUAAAUGUUGUACCAAAUUCUACUUCUGGCACCGGAAAAUGCUUUCUCCUGUUGUUCAAAGUGACUCCAGAUGCUGCUGUACUUAGUGUACUGCGCAAGCACGCGGACUGGAAUGAAAAAGCGAAGUAAAUGAGUUUACAUUCAUCUGUCAAUAUUCCUAAGGGACAGACUGUUUGGACUGCCAAGUCUGCUCUGCCUAUGUGUGCAUAACUUCAGCAGGCUGGAGAUUCCCACAGUGGGAUCUCCUCCAGGAGCAGGGCUUCUCUGCUGCUACAACCUGGUGGAGGUGGUGGCUGCUCCCCUUCCCAUUGCCCUCCAUCUCCUGCAGGACCAAUAGAAAGAACUUUCCAAAGGACAUGGGCUUUUUGCAUUUUAAAUAGCUGUAUGUUUCACUGUCUGCUGUCCCUCAUUUGAAAUAGUUCAAUGAAAAGGGAUUCUCACUGUACAAACAGCAGCAAUUUCCAUCCCAAACACUGGAGUGAUUUGAUGUCCAUGGAAAAAGCAAACAAGGCACAUGUGAGAGAAGAAGCUACUAUGGUUGAUGUCCAGCACGUGUUGGAAAUACAUGGAAGAAAGAAGAAAAGAUGAGAGAAUUCAAGAGAUGAAGCAACAAUGGAAUCAUAGAAUCACUAAGCCUGGAAAAGACCGCUGAGUUCAUCUAGUCUAACCACCAGCCCAUCCAGAAUACCCACUAACCCACAUCCCUCAGUGCCAAUGAGAGAAGCAAGUAGUGAGAAAGGGGUAAGCAGUGUUUUGUUUAAAGUGAUGAACGUCCUUCACUCAGCAGAUAUCUUCAGCCAUGCCAGUGUCCCAGGCUAAGCAGCCCUCACCAAACUUAUCUGCACAGAGACUGACCCAAGCCAACAUCUUCUGUUAGGGAAAGCAAACAAGAGAGUGGGUACAUUCACCUCUUUUAAGGCUGGAAUAUUGCCACAUAACCAAACUGCGUUCACAGACUCAGACCUUGGUCUGUUCUAGGCCUUUAGGGCACCUCCUCUGUAUUUCUGCCCUAUAAAGUAAGGGAGGUGACUAAGAUCAGUGCAUCAUUCCUCUGCUCACUUCUGCUCAC